AUCCAACUGACGAGUCCUAAAUAGGACCAAACGCGCGUCUUGGAU
rfam:Schistosoma rodhaini strain Burundi genome assembly, scaffold: SROB_scaffold0000147